GCCUUCGUGGCGGAAUUGGCAUACGCGUACGAUUCAGGUUCGUAUUCCGUAAGGAUUGUGGGUCCGACUCCCACCGAAGGCA
rnacentral:tRNA from 1 species